UGGUCUAUUAGCUCAGUCGGUAGAGCACUUGACUUUUAAUCAAGGUGUCCCGAGUUCGAAUCUCGGAUAGAUCAUUUU
rnacentral:tRNA from 1 species